CGCUGUGUGCCGGGCGCCACCUGCGCCUGGCCGCUGGGUUCAGACCGGAAGACUGGGCGCCGGGGACGUGACGACGGCGCGCGGCGUAUGCAGAUGAAGAGGCGCGCAGAGGCUGUCGGUCCUACUGCGCCCGCUCCCCCUGCGUCCCGGAUCCAGACGCCCCGAGGCUGUUUUUGCGGUGGGCGAGGAAAGAAGAGCCGCUACUUAGACGCGACAAGUGCCGUGUAGAGUUACCGUUGCGGGUUCUAAAGCCCCGGAGCCAAUGCGACGAGGAAGGGUGUCCAUUGUUUUCCUGCUAGUUAUGCAACCCACUGGUGGUGUCUGCUGCGGCCCCCAAAAUGGGACCUGGUGUAGCCAACAGAGCUACCACCGCCCGUUUGUCUCCAGACUGUCCCGGGAAAUGCCACCCACCCCGAGGGGUGGAGGCAGCCGGAAGGCCUGGGCCCGUGAAACGCAGGAAGCUCCCGCGGGAGCCUUUCUGUGUGGGGUUCUCCGAGGCACCUGGAAAGAAUGAUACUCGUGCUUUUUUUUUUUUU